rnacentral:ribozyme from 1 species
CCAAAAAGAAGAAGCGAAAUAAAAAAGAAAAAAGAAAGGGGAAGAGCAAGAAGCGUCGCAAGAAAUCCGCAAG